CCAGAAAGUUGCUUGUGUCCUUCUCCCAGUUCUCAGUGCUCAAGAACGUUAAAUCAACCUCUUGAUGAUUCAUGAGAGGGGACUCCAUCACCACAGCAGAGCCACUCUAAGUCUUAGACCCUGAGGUUUAGAACUCAGGCCCCCCAGCGCCCAUCUGAGGCUGCUCGCUGAGUUCUGCCAUGUGCUUGUGAGAGCUAUGAAGGACCGCAAUGAUGCCAGCAGCCGCCCACACAGAGCCCUCGUUAGGACAUGUGCCUCCAGUCCGUUUCCCCGGAACUUCUAUGAGCACAGCUAUAUCUGUAAAACUUUCAGAACAACUUAAAGGCCUGAUCAUUAAGUGCCCGGUAACUGAGUGAGUGGAUGUUGGUACAGCCGCUGUGAGGAGUACCCCACAGGGGUGAAGACUGUGGCUACACAGGUGUUUGUUGCAGCCACAAGAUAGCAAUGGAUAUAGAAAAUGACAGGAAAGAUAGAUUUGGAUAUAACUUGCUUUGUAAGUAAACAUACCACCCAAUCUUUUGGGGGACACUCUUCCUGGCCCCUACCUCCCAGCUCUGUGCCAUUAAAGAGGAAAGCUGCCUGGAUCUCUGUUUGCUGCUGCCAGGGUGCAGGCCACACAGUACAGCAUCAGGCUUUGUCUUCCAAGUAGGAGGGAGUGGUGAGAAGAACCUCGUGUCUGGAGGUUGGCACGUCAACUCCAUGAACAGAAUUCGACCACUUUUUGAAGGGAAAGCUAUCCGUCACAGAUUCCGAAGGGACUUGGUACCCACUGGCCUGGGAAUAAAAUGAAAGCCACUCUGGCUAGAAAGCCAGCCCCUCGCUCAGUGCCUCUAUAGGGCCAACGUAGUGAGGAACUCUGGCUUUUCCUUGAGGACCACAGGGUGGUGAGGGAGUGCUGCCAGCCUGGCUUCACAAGCUCUUCAUCUGUGCCUGUCUUAUUUGUUCUUUGGUGUGUGUGUGUGUGUGUGUGUGUGUGUGUGUGUGUGUGUGUAGUGGGACUAGGUCAGAGGGCGAUGUCAGGCAUCAUCCCUCAGGUUCCAUCCUAUCCAUCUGUUUCCUGAGACAGUGUCUCUCAUUGGCCUGGAAGUCAUCAAAGUAUGCCAAGCUGGCCAGCCUGUGAGACCCAGGGAUCCACCUGUCCCUGCCGCCCUGAUACUGAGAUCACAAGCAUGAACUACCACGCUUGGAUGAAUUUGUUAGGGUGGUUUUGUUUUUUUUGUUUUUGCAUGGGUUGUGGGCUCAUGUCAUUAUACUUGCAAGGCAAGCAUUUUAUCUCCUGAACUCUUUUUCCCACACUGUCUCCUAUCUUGGUUUUGGUUACGUGGUCAAUGUAACCAAAGGACAGGAGAGACUUAACCUGAUAGAGAAUCUCUAAUCCCACCCCCACCUUCUUACCUCCUUCCUCCUCUGUUGCCCUCUCCCUAAACCCUAUUGCUAAGGUCAGAUGGGACAUGUCCCCCACAGACUCAAUUGUUGAACGCUUGGUCCCCAGCUGGCAGUGCCAUCUUGGGAGGCUGUGGAACCCUCAGAGCAAGAGACAUGAUUGGUGGAAGUCACAGGGUGGGGGGGGGGGGGGUGUCAGUCUUGAACAGGCUAGCCUUUCUUCCAGAUGGAGCUUUCUGUGUCCUGUCCACCAAGAUGUGAACAAGCCGAGCACAGGCUUCCACCACCAUAGACCAAGCCACGUCGGCAGCCAUGUCAUCCCCACUGGGAAACUUCCAACGAAAAGAAAUGUUCCUCCCUUGAGUCACAUUGUCAGGAGUCACAGGCCCAGUCAUGAGGACAGUGACUGCUCAAGGGAAUGGAAAGUCCCUGCAGCUGCCCAGCUCCAGCCUGAGAGGCUUAGUGAAGUGAGCCAGCAGGAAGAGAGGAGCAGAAGAGGAAGUGGACAUCUGUUUCUGCAAUGGCGCUGCAGGUGGCCGAAUAUAGGACUGCACCAGAGCCUGAGAAAGAAAGUUUGGGAAGAACACCUUCCUGGUGGUCACAUCUGUGACACACAUCCUCCUCUUCAGCUCCAAACAUCAAAUGACUGUGUUCUGCCUCCUGGCCCCGUGUGAUGUCUACAAAAGAUCACUGAGCAGAGGAAGUCCUUUGGGGCACCGAACGUGCCCGCAGCCUGGGCAGUGACUUCCAUUUGUCCCUUGUACUCUGCAGAAGGAAGAGUUCUUGGGACUAGCA